rnacentral:tRNA from 1 species
GUCUUUUUAAUAUAAAAAAUAUUUAUGACUUCCAAUCAUUUAACCUUAGUUUAAACCUAAGAAAAGACA